rnacentral:tRNA from 1 species
GCCGCCCUAGCUCAGUCGGAAGAGCGAUUCACUCGUAAUGAAUAGGUCAAGGGUUCGAUUCCCUUGGGCGGCUCCA